GGGUUGUGAGGUUAAGCGACUAAGCGUACACGGUGGAUGCCCUGGCAGUCAGAGGCGAUGAAGGGCGUGCUAAUCUGCGAUAAGCGCCGGUAAGGUGAUAUGAACCGUUAUAACCGGCGAUACCCGAAUGGGGAAACCCAGUGUGAUUCGUCACACUAUCAUUAACUGAAUCCAUAGGUUAAUGAGGCGAACCGGGGGAACUGAAACAUCUAAGUACCCCGAGGAAAAGAAAUCAACCGAGAUUCCCCCAGUAGCGGCGAGCGAACGGGGAGGAGCCCAGAGCCUGAAUCAGCAUGUGUGUUAGUGGAAGCGUCUGGAAAGGCGCGCGAUACAGGGUGACAGCCCCGUACACAAAAGCGCAUGUGCUGUGAGCUCGAUGAGUAGGGCGGGACACGUGGUAUCCUGUCUGAAUAUGGGGGGACCAUCCUCCAAGGCUAAAUACUCCUGACUGACCGAUAGUGAACCAGUACCGUGAGGGAAAGGCGAAAAGAACCCCGGCGAGGGGAGUGAAAAAGAACCUGAAACCGUGUACGUACAAGCAGUGGGAGCCCCACCACCAAAGCAUUCUCUGGUGUUGAAGGCCCUGCAAAGCAGCAUCGCGGUGGCGGAGCGUCGUUUGCGACGCCCAACACACAAAACAAGCGGUGAGUGCUUUGGGGUGGGGUGACUGCGUACCUUUUGUAUAAUGGGUCAGCGACUUAUAUUCUGUAGCAAGGUUAACCGUAUAGGGGAGCCGUAGGGAAACCGAGUCUUAAUUGGGCGUUAAGUUGCAGGGUAUAGACCCGAAACCCGGUGAUCUAGCCAUGGGCAGGUUGAAGGUUGGGUAACACUAACUGGAGGACCGAACCGACUAAUGUUGAAAAAUUAGCGGAUGACCUGUGGCUGGGGGUGAAAGGCCAAUCAAACCGGGAGAUAGCUGGUUCUCCCCGAAAGCUAUUUAGGUAGCGCCUCGUGAAUUCAUCUCCGGGGGUAGAGCACUGUUUCGGCUAGGGGGCCAUCCCGGCUUACCAACCCGAUGCAAACUGCGAAUACCGGAGAAUGUUAUCACGGGAGACACACGGCGGGUGCUAACGUCCGUCGUGAAGAGGGAAACAACCCAGACCGCCAGCUAAGGUCCCAAAGUCAUGGUUAAGUGGGAAACGAUGUGGGAAGGCCCAGACAGCCAGGAUGUUGGCUUAGAAGCAGCCAUCAUUUAAAGAAAGCGUAAUAGCUCACUGGUCGAGUCGGCCUGCGCGGAAGAUGUAACGGGGCUAAACCAUGCACCGAAGCUGCGGCAGCGACGCUUAUGCGUUGUUGGGUAGGGGAGCGUUCUGUAAGCCUGUGAAGGUGGCCUGUGAGGGUUGCUGGAGGUAUCAGAAGUGCGAAUGCUGACAUAAGUAACGAUAAAGCGGGUGAAAAGCCCGCUCGCCGGAAGACCAAGGGUUCCUGUCCAACGUUAAUCGGGGCAGGGUGAGUCGACCCCUAAGGCGAGGCCGAAAGGCGUAGUCGAUGGGAAACGGGUUAAUAUUCCCGUACUUGGUGUUACUGCGAAGGGGGGACGGAGAAGGCUAUGUUGGCCGGGCGACGGUUGUCCCGGUUUAAGCGUGUAGGUGUGUGUUCCAGGUAAAUCCGGUUCACUUUAACACUGAGGCGUGACGACGAGGCACUACGGUGCUGAAGCAACAAAUGCCCUGCUUCCAGGAAAAGCCUCUAAGCAUCAGGUAACAUCAAAUCGUACCCCAAACCGACACAGGUGGUCAGGUAGAGAAUACCAAGGCGCUUGAGAGAACUCGGGUGAAGGAACUAGGCAAAAUGGUGCCGUAACUUCGGGAGAAGGCACGCUGACACGUAGGUGAAGUGAUUUACUCAUGGAGCUGAAGUCAGUCGAAGAUACCAGCUGGCUGCAACUGUUUAUUAAAAACACAGCACUGUGCAAACACGAAAGUGGACGUAUACGGUGUGACGCCUGCCCGGUGCCGGAAGGUUAAUUGAUGGGGUCAGCGCAAGCGAAGCUCCUGAUCGAAGCCCCGGUAAACGGCGGCCGUAACUAUAACGGUCCUAAGGUAGCGAAAUUCCUUGUCGGGUAAGUUCCGACCUGCACGAAUGGCGUAAUGAUGGCCAGGCUGUCUCCACCCGAGACUCAGUGAAAUUGAACUCGCUGUGAAGAUGCAGUGUACCCGCGGCAAGACGGAAAGACCCCGUGAACCUUUACUAUAGCUUGACACUGAACAUUGAGCCUUGAUGUGUAGGAUAGGUGGGAGGCUUUGAAGUGUGGACGCCAGUCUGCAUGGAGCCGGCCUUGAAAUACCACCCUUUAAUGUUUGAUGUUCUAACGUGGACCCGUGAUCCGGGUUGCGGACAGUGUCUGGUGGGUAGUUUGACUGGGGCGGUCUCCUCCUAAAGAGUAACGGAGGAGCACGAAGGUUGGCUAAUCCUGGUCGGACAUCAGGAGGUUAGUGCAAUGGCAUAAGCCAGCUUGACUGCGAGCGUGACGGCGCGAGCAGGUGCGAAAGCAGGUCAUAGUGAUCCGGUGGUUCUGAAUGGAAGGGCCAUCGCUCAACGGAUAAAAGGUACUCCGGGGAUAACAGGCUGAUACCGCCCAAGAGUUCAUAUCGACGGCGGUGUUUGGCACCUCGAUGUCGGCUCAUCACAUCCUGGGGCUGAAGUAGGUCCCAAGGGUAUGGCUGUUCGCCAUUUAAAGUGGUACGCGAGCUGGGUUUAGAACGUCGUGAGACAGUUCGGUCCCUAUCUGCCGUGGGCGCUGGAGAACUGAGGGGGGCUGCUCCUAGUACGAGAGGACCGGAGUGGACGCAUCACUGGUGUUCGGGUUGUCAUGCCAAUGGCACUGCCCGGUAGCUAAAUGCGGAAGAGAUAAGUGCUGAAAGCAUCUAAGCACGAAACUUGCCCCGAGAUGAGUUCUCCCUGAGACUUUAGGUCUCCUGAAGGAACGUUGAAGACGACGACGUUGAUAGGCCGGGUGUGUAAGCGCAGCGAUGCGUUGAGCUAACCGGUACUAAUGAACCGUGAGGCUUAACCUUACAACGCCGAAG
rnacentral:rRNA from 1 species